UAUAAAUAUAUAUAUACAUAUAUAUAUAUAUAUAUAUAUAUAUAUAUCUUAUCUUAUUACCUUAAAAGUAUAAACUCCUAACUUUAAUAUUGAAUUACUAUAAUAUCCCUUAUUUAGGUUGUGACUUUUUCGAUGAGUUAUGACAUUUCCGAUAAGUUGUGAUUUUUUUAAAGGAUUACGAUUUUUCGAUGAGUUCUGGCUUUUCCAAAAAGUUGUUACUUUAUCAAUAAGUUGUGAUUUUUCCAAAGAGUUGUGAUUUUUUUAAAAAGUUGUGACUUUUCAAAAAUAUAAUGACUUCUUGGAAAGGUAAUGAUUUUUCAGAUAAGACACAAAAAAAUAUUUUUCAUACUAUCCUUUGUUGACUAUAAAUGGAAGGAAUUCCUCUCAUUUUUCAACAAUAAUUUUUUCUAACCAUGCACUCUACUUCUUCUUGCAUUUUAAAUUUUUUUGUGUGAUUAAUUCUCCUUGAGUGAGUCUGAAGUUAAGCGGAAUAUGCGUCACCACUACUCUGAUGAAGUAAGUCGGUAUAUUCCAUAAGAUGGAUUACUUGAGGAAAAUAAUAUAAAUAUAAUCAUUAUUUCUUUUCUUAAUAUAUACAUUCGUAUGUGAUGUUUCAUUAUAUGAAGUUAACGUGGUGUAUCCUAAAUUCAUUUAUUUUUGUUAACAAUUUUUCAUGUGAUGUAGAUAUAUGCUUCUGAAUAUCUUUUUUCAAAUUUCAUAGAACUGUCACGAUUUAUUUUCAUGCUCAAGAGCAAAAAAAGACUAUCAAUGCUACUUAUGUGAUUUUGACUCUCAGAAAAUUUGCUUCAAAAUAGUUAUUACUAUAUGAACAUUGCCUUUUUGUUUUACUUAUUUACUAUUUCUUAAUAUUUCAAUAUUUUGGCGAAAAAGAAUUUAUAUGAAUUAUAAUAAAGUCAGUUGAAGUUUGUAAAUUGUUUGUGUUAUUUAUUGCCGUUGAAUGAGUACAAAGUUUAGCGGAAUAUGAGGUACCACUUUUCUAAUUAAGUAAGUCGUUCUAUCCUUAGAGUGUAUAUUUCAUAACCUCGAGUACUUGAGGAAAAUAAUAUAAUUUUGACGAUAUCAUAGUUACUUUUUCAGUUAAUAUAUACUUUAGCAUGUAAUGUUCCAAUAUAUGAAGUUAACAUGAUGUAGUCUAAAUUCAUUUGUUUUUUGUUGACAACUUCUCUUGUGAUGUAAAUAUAUGAUUUUUAAUAUCUUUUUUCAAAAUUAAGAGAAUUGUCACGAUUUAUUUUUGUUGUUCAAGAUAAAAAAAUGACUUAUUUAUCAAUUUACUUGUGUGAUUUAGACUCUCAGAAAGUUUGCUUCGAAAUAUUUAUUACUAUAUAAACAUUGCCCUGUUAUUUUACUUAUUUACUACUUUUUAAUAUUUCAGUAUUUUAGUCGAAGAAAAGUUCAUAUGACUUGUAAUAACGUCAGUUGAAGUUUGUAUUGGUUUAAUUUUUAUUAUUUAUUUAAUUGUUAAUUUUAUGAGAUAUUAUUUUCAUUAAUGCAAAUAUAUAUUUAUAUUUGAGUAGGUAUUUGUAUUUAAAUUAAAGUAUUAUAUAUGUCACAAAUGUAUUAUGAAGAUAACGAUUUUCUAUUAAAGUAUUAUAUAUGUCACAAAUGUAUUAUUAAGAUAACGAGAUCUUCUAACUUCGACAUAUAUUGUCUUAAAAUAUUCCUAGUUCUUCUUAAAAAAACUCAUAACAAAUGUGAAAAUAUGUGAAUAUAUAAAAUGUAGUUGUCUCUUCACAUGUUCAUAUGACAUAUCUAAAUAAUAUAACAUAGAAUACACAUGUAAAAUACAUUUGGUUAGACGAAAAGAAAAAUAUAAAAGAAAUAUGGUCUAUGAGGUAGUAUUAGUGAGAUAGGCUGUAUUAGUGAGAUAAACUAAUUUCAUGAUUAAACCUCAUCAAGUUAAAAUAAAUGUGUACAUAUUUCCAUUUAAUUAAUAAAAUACUUCAUUGACUAUCUUCAUAGGUUUGCGUGAAUAAGGGAUACAUAUGACGAUCCACACUAAACAUUCACAAAUCUGCAAUAUUAUUUUUUGCUAAGUUUAUUAUUCAAAUAUUUGCUUAAAUAAGCAAUACUAUUUACUAUACAUUUGUUAUAUUAGUAAUCGCGUGCAACACACGUGUUGAAAAACUUGUGCGUGUAUAUAUAUAUAUAUAUAUAUAUAUAUAUAUAUAUAUACACACACACACACACACCCGACUAAACAUCACAAAUUACUCUCUAACUGAGUUGGCUUGUCUAGUUUAAGUGGUAUUAUAUACAUGAACUUGCUCAUAUAUUUGCUUGCAUAGUUAAGUUUUCCUAUCAAUUCUAAUUGUUCAUUAGCAUGAUUAUAUGUGUCAUUUUGUUCUUUAAAAAAACAUAUGUUACUAAUGAUCUGUUUCAAAUAUCUCUUAGAUAAACUAUGUCUCACUUCAAUACUAUGUCCUCUAUAUUGAACCAAAAUAAUCUGAAAGGUCCUAACUUUGUGGAAUGAAAACAAAACCUUGAUAUUGUUCUAACAUCUGAGGGUUUCAAAUAUGCGUUGGUUGAAUAAUGCCUCAUUAAACAAGCAAAUGAUACUAAUGAGGAGAUAAAGGACUAUAAGAAAUGGGUUAAGGCUGAUGAGAUGGCAAGGUGCUACAUUCUUGCCUCAAUAUUGAAUGUCUUGCAGAAUCUAAAUCAGUGUAUGACAUCUACUUAUGAUAUGCUCGAACCUCUUAAAGAGAUGUUCGGAGAGAAGAAUCGUGCUACCAAGCAAACUGCCAUGAAGGCUAUCUAGACCACCAAAAUGGUUAAAGGAUCCAUUUUCAAGGAUCAUGUGCUGAUCAUAAUGAAUUAUCUGCAUGAGUUGGCGAUACUUGCCGCUUGCUAUUGAUAAGGAUUCUCAGGUGGAGAUGAUCUUACAGACUCUGUCGGACACUUUUCAAUAAUUUCUCUUGAAUUAUAAUAUGAACAAGAUGGAUUUAUCUCUUGCGAGAUUGUUGAAUGAACUGAAACGGCAGAAUACAUUAUCAAGCAACAAACGUCUCCCUCUGUAGCAUACAAGGUGGGCAAAUUUGUCGCUUCUUCAUCUAAGUUGGCUAAAGCCCAGUAGAAGAAUUUGUGCAAGGUUGUGGCACUCGGAGGUGCUACAGGUGGUGUGUCUAAGCCUGAGGGCAAGUGAUACCACUGCAAGUAUCCUGAUCACCAUAAGAGGCAAUGCCACGACUAUCGAGCCAAAAUAAAGAACAAAGGGCUUUCAGGAAAUUUGGCGACUAAAUGAGAAUGUAGUUUGCAUCUUUCAGGUGAAAGGGGAACAACACCAGUCCUAAAAAUAAGAAAUAUCUUUCUGUUCUUUCAGUAGUUCCAGAAUUAUAUUUUUAAAAGAUGUUCUUUAUGAACCCCUGAUAAGAAGGAAUUUGAUUUCAGUUUCAAAAAUAAUGGAUAUUGGUUAUGAAGUUUCAUUUGUAAAUAAAUGUGUUGUUAUUAAGUAUGAUAAGAAAUUCUUCUAUGGUGCUCCCAAAUACUUCAUCUCUUUGUA